rnacentral:rRNA from 1 species
CCUACGGGUGGCAGCAGUGGGGAAUAUUGCGCAAUGGGCGAAAGCCUGACGCAGCGACGCCGCGUGAGGGAUGAAGGUCUUCGGAUCGUAAACCUCUGUCAGCAGGGAAGCACGGUCACUGUGCUAAUCAGCCGUGAAUUGACGGUACCUGCAAAGGUAGCACCGGCUAACUCCGUGCCAGCAGCUGGGGUAAUACGGAGGGUGCGUGCGUUAAUCGGAAUUACUGGGCGUAAAGCGCUCGUAGGCGGGAUGUCAAGGCAAGGGGUAAAACCCCGGGCCUAACGUGGGAACUGCCUUUGAAACUGGCAACCUGGAGUGUGUGAGAGGAUCGUGGAAUUCCAGGUGUAGGAGUGAAAUCCGUAGAUAUCUGGAGGAACAUCAGUGGCGAAGGCGACUAUCUGGCACAUAACUGACGCUGAGGAGCGAAAGCGUGGGUAGCAAACAGGAUUAGAUACCCGGGUAGUC